UCGGCGCGGCUCCCGCGGAGACGGAGCGCUGAUUCAUGGGGCCCCGCGCCGGCUGCCUGGGCGAGGAGAGCGCGGCGCUGCCGCUGCCCCCGCGCGGGGUGUGAAGCCCCAGCCCCUCCUCCGCAGCCCCGGGCUCGCCCGCCCUGCUCUGGAGUGUGGUCCCUGCCGGGAGCCGCCGCGUCUGGCGCACGGAGGGAAGCGUUGAUGCAUCGCUGUGGAAAUUUAUUGUGUGACUUUCUGGGUAUUUGCUGAGUUUCAGACCGAGAUGCAGCUCUUGAAAGCUUUAUGGGCACUAGCAGGAGCAGCGAUCUGCUGUUUUCUUAUAUUUGUCAUCCACUCACAGUUUCUUAAAGAAGGUCAACUGGCUGCAGGUACAUGUGAGAUUGUUACUUUGGACAGAGAUAGCAGUCAGCCCCGAAGGACUAUAGCCCGACAAACAGCUCGCUGUGCAUGUAAAAAAGGACAGAUUGCCGGUACAACAAGAGCAAGGCCAGCCUGUGUUGAUGCACGAAUUAUCAAAACAAAACAGUGGUGUGAAAUGCUUCCAUGUUUAGAAGGAGAAGGCUGUGAUUUGCUAAUCAAUAAAUCAGGCUGGACCUGUACACAACCAGGAGGACGGAUAAAGACAACCACGCCUGUCUGAGGCCAUGUGGUUUGGAGAUCUGAUCACUAGUCCGAAAAGGAAAGGCUGUUUGCAAGAUUUCUGGGGUGUUUUUUCCUGGAAAAGGUCUCCUGACAAAUGCAGCAACACAGAAUCCUCGUAGGAGUGGUUUAGGCUCUGUGUGAGCUACUUAGUCAAGUUUCACUGCUGUUGAUCAUCAUUUGUUAUAUGUCAUCAACUCAACUGUCUGUUUCUCUGUAUCUCAUGAAUGACAGCAUAAUUCCUCUACAUUAAGAGCUAAAGUUUGUUCUACCAUAUUAAGGAUCACGGAACUAAGGAAUCUAGAAAAAGAGAUAUGCUUGGGCAUUAGCAAUACAAAAAAGUUCAUGGUUAACGUUUCAUCUGCGUUAUACACCACUGCUGGACUUGCUGUUACCUACAUGUUUUAAUUCGAAGAGUCUGCUACAAUGAAGAGUAUCAUCCCAGUCAGCCUUAGAGAAGACUGUUUUGCCUAUGGGAGGACACUGAGGUGCAAAAGAGAAACUCUUCUUGUGCCCUAAACUGUCUGAAUUGCUUUUAUUUUCUUAUACUUUCAGUAUAUACAAUAGACCAAAGAGCAAAAUCUAUUUUAAAGUGGACACAAUCUUACUGUUAACAGAGUUAUGUCAUUAAAUUGUAGGAGGUCUCCACAAAGACAUGAUUCCAGAUUUCACAAAGCUGAGAUGUUGUUCAGCAGAAGUCUUUAUGGAAAACUGCAGUAAAAACUAACUCAGAGACCUACUCUUGAAAUGCCACGUUCAAGAGAACAUAAUGGAGCACUGAGUUUGAAAAACUUGGACAAAAAGAACACAAACUGUCUACACGGCACCUUUAUUCCUCUGUACUUAGAUUGACUUUCUCGUACUAAAAUCAUUUUCAGUUUUAACCAGUUAAACAUGCCUCUUCUACAGUUCCAUUUUUGAUAGUUAAAGUUGAAUAAUACAGUAUUUGCAAAGAGCAUGUUUGGUCAUCUGUGGCCUAUGUCUCAUCUGAAACACCAUUUAGCACCAGAAAGCAAAUUAAAGAGAAAACAAAAAGUAACACUUGUUUGAAAGAGAUCAUUAAAUGUAUUUUGAAAAGCCUAAAGUUAUAUAUUUAACAGUUUUUAUAUGUUGUAUAUUUGUAGAAAAUCCUAUUUAACAAUUAACGUGAUAACUCUGACAGUCAUGACAAGUGGUUCAGAGUUAAGUUGUGUUUUAUUACUUCAGUUGUCUCUGAAGUGACUGGUAUCGUUUGCUUUCUUCCAUUGGGACAUUCUGGAUGUAAAGCAUGACCAGAGAAGACUGUGUAGAAAAAGCAAAGAAUAAUGUUGUUUAUAUUACAUAAAUGCAUUCAACCAUU